AGGCGGUUGCUAGGCUCCAGCGGCUCCCGGCCAGCGGGGACGUGGAGGUGACAUUUCUCUGACCCACAGGACUGUGGGCGCCCUGCCGAGCGUCGCGCGGUCUUGGGGCGACCUGCAGUGGGGCCCCUGCGGCGCAGCGCGCGGUGGGACUGGCCGGGUUCCCGCGCCGCCCAGGGCCUGUGUCUGCGCCGGUUCCUGGCAAGGGCACCUUGGCCGGGCGGCCCGCGUCCCCUGCGCUUCCCACACCCACGUGGGCGGACCCGGCCCGCAAGCUGGGCCAGCCUGCGGUUUCCGGGCACUGGGGAGUGCGCAGAGCCCCGGGCCAGCGACCGCAGCCGGGGCCCCUGGCUUCUCCCGAGCACUUUCCCCCGGACCGGUCCCUCCAGGGUGGCGGGCGGCACCCAGGGCCGGCGCUCCUCACCAACGCGCUGCAGCUACGGGCUCAGGAGGGAGCCGCAGCGUCGGAGGAGGAAAGCAUUUAAGAAUAGCACAAAGCCUUAGGCUCGAGGAAGCGUGACUGCUUACGUGUUGAAAAUAAAGGUUCUGUAAGUCCCACCGCGGGUGCAUAUUGAAAAGAAAGGGAUCAUUAGCACGCGACCCUCGCCUAGGAGUAUAUAAACCGCAGCACGACUUUCGGAUCACAAAGGCAGAGAAAAGAACACAUUGAAGGCUUUUGCUCACUUUUCCAAGUUGUUUCGUUUCGUUUUGUUUCUAAUGUGGACGAUCAUUUAAAAUGCCUCUGGUGGCCGGGCGCGGUGACUGACGCCUGUAAUCACAGCACUUUGGGAGGCCGAGGCGGGCGGAUCACCUGAGGUCAGGAAUUCGAGACCAGCCUGGGCAAUACGGUUAAACCCCCUCUCUACUAAAAAUAAAAAAAUUAGCUGGGCGUGGUGGCAUGUGCUUGUAGUCCCAGCUACUUGGGAGGCUGAGACAGAAGAAUCGCUUGAACCCGGGAGGCGGAAGUUGCAAUGAGCCAAGAUUGCGCCAUUGCAUUCCAGCCUGGGCAACAGAGCAAGACCCUGUCUCCAAAAAAAACAAAUAAAUAUAACAAAAUUCCUCUGGUAGCCGGGUGCGGUGGCUCACGCCUGUAAUCUCAGCACUUUGGGAGGCUGAGGCAGGUGGAUCACUUGAAGUCAAGAGUUUGAGACCAGCCUGGCCAAUAUAGUGAAACCUCAUCUCUACUGAAAAUACAAAAAUUAGCCAGGCGUGGUGAUGCGCUCCUGUGAUCCCAGCUACUCGGGAGGCUGAGGCGUGAGAAUCGGUUGAACCCGGGAGGUGGAGGUUGUAGUGAUCCGAGAUUGUGCCAUUGCACUCCAGCCUGGGCAACAGAGGGAGAUCCUGUCUCUAAAAUAAAAAAUAAAAGAAAUGCCUUUGGUGAACAGGAAUUCUCAACAUUAGUGACCCGCAGUGUAUUAGUGUUAAUAAUGGACAUCCCCUUUGAUCCAGCAAGCCCAUCUAGAGAUUUCCUAGGAUAGACAAGCCAGUUUGUGCAAUUUCAUGUGUACAGCAUUGUUUUUAGUAUGGAAAGAUUAGAGUUUACAUAUCUACCCAUAGGGAGAGAGUUAAAUAAAUUAUGGUGCAUCCGUUUAGUGGAUUAGUAUACAGCCAUUAGGAAUAAAGGAAUUCUUUAUGUGCUGAUAUGAAAUA
rnacentral:lncRNA from 1 species